AGAUCAUAUUUCUUACCUAUAAAGAGAUGGAUGAACAUAGCCAUUGAGCGAACUGCUUGGCAUGGUAAAUACAAACUACCCAACUACAUAGGUUUACCUAUGUUUCAAGCUCACUAUUUCUAAAUGUUCAAGAUUGUACAGUAUCUGAUCAUCUGGAUUCAAGUAGAGUACGUAGCGGCAUCAUUACAAGAUUUUUGCUAGAUGGUCAUAAGUCAUAACAUGUUUUCAGUGGCACUGGCAUUAUUCUGAUAAAAAGUAGUGAUGACAUUAAACAAAGAUAUUGCAGUACUUAAACAAUGAGGCAUACAUAAUAUGAAUAGGGGCCCAGAAACAUUGUAAGUAUGAAACGUUAGUUUUUCAACACAGUACAGUAAAUAAGGAACUCUUCGUUCAGACACAACCGAAGCAGUAGAAUGAUUAAAUCCUAUCAUCAAAUUCAUAGUCUAUUUGAUAUUUAGAUUCAGAGGACUAAGUUUUGAACAUUUACGCAGCUCACAUACAAGAAAUACCAGUGCUUUUCUACUUACCUACACAAAAAUCAGUAGCAGCGACAUCAAUUGCCAACUUAAUUCUUCCAUUAUAUCCAGCCCUUUCUAUUGCUGCUAUGACAAGAUCCAGGCCUUCAGAUAUGCUGAAAAUUGAUAAAGCAACAUAGAUACGUCAUUAGGGUAUAUAAGGAGAUCUCCUAAAAGGGAAAACAAGAAAUGAGUGGUAUCCGAAAUGGUAAACUAGUUUCUUACUUGCCUGGAAAUAUUUGGAGCAAAUCCACCAUGAUCUCCAAUGUUGCAACUCUCCGCACCAUAUUUCUCCAAGAUAAUAUCCUGUAAAAUUAAUUGGUAAGGAAAUAUCUACAAAACUGAGCAAGCCUUAGGGUCCAUGGUGUCGGUACUUUGCCUUAAGGGUAACCAACCCAAAUGAAGUAGUAGCUAAACUCAAAAGAAAAAGAAAAGGAGAAGGUAUCAGAAAGAAAGUGUGCAAUAUUAGGUUUUUAUUGAACACAAUCUUAUGCUGUUUGAUGAACAUUUUGAUCCAAGUAUGAGUGGAGAACAACAUUCAUGUUGCUGAGAACAUAAGAUCGUUAGAAGUUAAGGCUACCUUGAGAUGGUGAUAGGUCUCGGAACCCAUCUGCAUUGCUUCUUCAAAGUUCUUUGCACCAACAGGAAGGAUCAUAAUUUCCUACAAAUAAGAAAAGUUCACUUAUAUUUACUGCAGACUUAUAGUUAAUUAUAUUGAUAUUGUUGAUAUACAUGAACCACCGACUAUCUUAAUAUAUUUGUUAGGAUAAAAGAUGACUCAAUUGAACAAAAUAAGGGAAUAAUGCCUUCAACUUUUCAGAUACUAAGAAUAUUUUAGAAGAGAGCCUUCAGGAGCUUGCAGAGAAAUUGGUUCUGCAAGGCAAUUCUAAAAGUUUGGAGAAAUACUUGAAUGGGAAGACCAUUUCCAGCAUGCUUUCCACCAUUAAUGACUGUAAUUGCAGGGACAGGAAGAGUUGUAGCGCUUUUGCCAACAAGAUCUGCUAUAUGCUUGUAGAGGGGAACCUGAACGGCAACAAGCAUCCAAUGAUCCAACAAUAAGAGUUAUGUGCGGUGGCAUCAAGACAUUUUGACCUCAAACUCUGAUGAUUUUAGCAGAAAACCAGAACCUCUUUUUCAGCAGCACCAGCUUUGCAAGCUGCAAUUGAUACAGCCAGCAUAGCAUUUGCUCCAAGCUCAGCCUGCAUUUCGCACAGUAUCACAGUUAUUUCCAUUUGGAUAAAAUCCAUUAGCCAGAAAUAAUGGGACGAUUUAGGAUACAAAGAAUUUGAGGCAGUAGCUAUCAGUAGAAACACAUGUAGACAAGAACAUAGCAUUAUUUCCCAACUGAUCCUAAAAUUGAAUAUGCCAUUGUAAAGUAUUGCUCGAGCAUAUAGAGCCAUUAGUUGUUUGUGUUGUGUUACUCCACAACACCUAAGUGUGACAUGGGUUUGGCAAAUGCAGAAUUCAGGAACAAAACAACUCCAGAGGAGGGGAAGAGAAAGCGUCAGGAGUGCUGCACCUUGUGGCGCGCCUUGUCCAAGUCCAUGAUGGCCUGGUCGAUCUGCGCCUGCUGCUGCGGAUCCAUCCCCACGAGCGCCUCCGACACCUU
rnacentral:lncRNA from 1 species